CAAGCAAUGCUUGCCACACUCAUCAGGUGGAUUUUAAAUUCACCUGGUGAGUGUGGCAAGCAUUGCUUGUC
rnacentral:miRNA from 1 species